rnacentral:rRNA from 1 species
CACGUAGGGGGCGAGCGUUGUCCGGAUUUAUUGGGCGUAAAGAGCUCGUAGGCGGCUCAGUAAGUCAGGUGUGAAAACUCCAGGCUCAACCUGGAGACGCCACUUGAUACUGCUGUGGCUAGAGUCCGGUAGGGGAGUGUGGAAUUCCCGGUGUAGCGGUGAAAUGCGCAGAGAUCGGGAGGAACACCCGUAGCGAAGGCGGCACUCUGGGCCGGUACUGACGCUGAGGAGCGAAAGCGUGGGGAGCAAACAGG